rnacentral:rRNA from 1 species
UACGGAGGGUGCAAGCGUUAAUCGGAAUUACUGGGCGUAAAGCGUGCGCAGGCGGUUUGUUAAGUCUGUUGUGAAAUCCCCGAGCUCAACUUGGGAAUUGCAAUGGAUACUGGCAGGCUGGAGUAUGGUAGAGGAAGGUGGAAUUCCCGGUGUAGCAGUGAAAUGCGUAGAGAUCGGGAGGAACACCAGUGGCGAAGGCGGCCUUCUGGACCAAUACUGACGCUCAUGCACGAAAGCGUGGGGAGCAAACCGG